AUUGAACGCUGGCGGCAGGCCUAACACAUGCAAGUCGAGCGGAUGAAGGGAGCUUGCUCCUGGAUUCAGCGGCGGACGGGUGAGUAAUGCCUAGGAAUCUGCCUGGUAGUGGGGGAUAACGUCCGGAAACGGGCGCUAAUACCGCAUACGUCCUGAUGUAGAAAGUGGGGGAUCUUCGGACCUCACGCUAUCAGAUGAGCCUAGGUCGGAUUAGCUAGUUGGUGGGGUAAAGGCCUACCAAGGCGACGAUCCGUAACUGGUCUGAGAGGAUGAUCAGUCACACUGGAACUGAGACACGGUCCAGACUCCUACGGGAGGCAGCAGUGGGGAAUAUUGGACAAUGGGCGAAAGCCUGAUCCAGCAAUGCCGCGUGUGUGAAGAAGGUCUUCGGAUUGUAAAGCACUUUAAGUUGGGAGGAAGGGCAGUAAGUUAAUACCUUGCUGUUUUGACGUUACCAAAAGAAUAAGCACCGGCUAACUUCGUG
rnacentral:rRNA from 1 species